UCCCCUGUAGCUCAACGGUAGAGCAUCCGACUGUUAAUCGGAGGGUUGCUGGUUCGAAUCCAGCCGGGGGAG
rnacentral:tRNA from 1 species